rnacentral:misc_RNA from 1 species
AAAAGUCGUAACAAGGUUUCCGUAGGUGAACCUGCGGAAGGAUCAUUACCUGGCCUAGGCCGCUGCUUGUCGGCGUGCCGCUCGUGCCUGCUACCUUGACUAUGUGCACCUUUGUUGUUCCCUCGGCAGUCCGCUGCCGCCAGGGACCCCCUAAACCCUUAUGCAGUACAGUAAACUUCUGAAAACAAACCUAAUUAUUUACAACUUUCAACAAUGGAUCUCUUGGUUCUG